AUACAGAGGGUGCGAGCGUUAAUCGGAAUUACUGGGCGUAAAGCGCGCGUAGGCGGUCUAUUAAGUCAGAUGUGAAAUCCCAGGGCUCAACCUUGGAACUGCAUCUGAUACUGGUAGACUAGAGUUUUGGAGAGGGAAGUAGAAUUUCAGGUGUAGCGGUGAAAUGCAUAGAGAUCAGAAGGAAUACCAGUGGCGAAGGCGACUUCCUGGCCAAAAACUGACGCUGAGGUGCGAAAGCGUGGGUAGCAAACGGGAUUAGAUACCCUAGUAGUCC
rnacentral:rRNA from 1 species